CGAUCGGGCUCGUAUAUUACCCAACCCGAAUAUAAUUAGGGUUUGUGUUCAGGUUCUGUGGAAUCCACAUUUAACAAUUCUGCAUUGCAUUCGAGAAGGACAUAAAGGAGUCAAGGAAGCGUCUAUUCUUAGCUGCGUCACCAUGAGAGCUAAGUGGAAGAAGAAGCGUAUGAGGAGAUUGAAGAGGAAGCGACGAAAGAUGAGGCAGAGGUCGAAGUAACUUCUGCUGCUGUUUCUGGUCCGGAGCUCCUCUCACGGGGUUUUGUGUCCCUUUUCGUUAGUUUAGUUCAGGCAUUGUUUGAUUUGUACCGAGACAGUUGGUUAUAUUUUCUGAGGUGCUUGGUAUAUUUUGCUAAUGUUUAAAUUGGAUAACCAACUUUGCUGAUACCGUAUGUCAUUAGUGCCUUUGGCAUUAGAUUGAUUGAAUGCUAGAUGGUUUGAUGUUAUUCAUUUUGUUAUGUGUUAGAAAAUACAUGUUUUAUAUUAAUUCUGCUGGGAAGGACAA